GGCUCCAGAGCCGGCGUAGCCUCCGCGCCGGUGGCACCGCAGCGAGCGGCAGGGAGCGGCCGGGCCGAACCGGGCCGAACCGAGCCGAACCGGGCCGAACCCGCCCGGAGUGCUCCCCCCUCUUCGCCCCGCCCUACCCUGUCCCGUUUCGUCCCGCCGGCGGCCGCGGCCCGCCCCGCGUUCCCCGCCGCAUCAGCAUGUCGGUGCCGGAGCCCGCCGGCGGCGAGGAGAAGCAGGCCAAGGAGGUGGAGGACGCCGAGAAAUAUUCCUUCAUGGCCACCGUCACCAAGGCCCCCAAGAAGCAAAUCCAAUUUGCAGAUGACAUGCAGGAGUUCACCAAAUUCCCGACCAAGACGGGCCGUCGGUCCCUGUCCCGCUCCAUCUCCCAGUCUUCCACCGACAGCUACAGCUCUGCUGCCUCAUACACAGACAGCUCUGAUGACGAGGUGUCCCCCCGAGAGAAACAACAAACCAACUCCAAGGGCAGCAGCAAUUUCUGUGUGAAGAACAUCAAACAGGCAGAGUUUGGGCGCCGGGAGAUUGAGAUCGCCGAGCAAGACAUGUCUGCUCUGAUUUCGCUCAGGAAACGAGCCCAGGGGGAGAAGCCUUUGGCUGGAGCUAAAAUCGUGGGCUGUACCCACAUCACAGCACAGACUGCAGUGCUGAUCGAGACUCUGUGUGCCCUGGGAGCGCAGUGCCGCUGGUCUGCCUGCAACAUCUACUCCACCCAGAACGAAGUGGCUGCAGCCUUGGCAGAGGCUGGUGUUGCUGUGUUUGCCUGGAAAGGGGAGUCAGAGGAUGAUUUCUGGUGGUGCAUUGACCGCUGUGUUAAUGUAGAUGGCUGGCAGGCCAACAUGAUCCUGGAUGAUGGUGGGGACCUGACCCAUUGGGUUUAUAAGAAAUAUCCCAGUGUGUUCAAGAAGAUCCGAGGGAUUGUGGAGGAGAGCGUGACCGGCGUGCACAGGCUGUACCAGCUCUCCAAGGCUGGGAAGCUCUGUGUCCCAGCCAUGAACGUGAAUGACUCUGUCACCAAGCAGAAGUUUGAUAACCUGUACUGCUGCCGGGAAUCCAUCCUGGAUGGCCUGAAGAGGACCACGGAUGUGAUGUUUGGAGGGAAGCAAGUGGUGGUUUGUGGUUAUGGGGAGGUUGGGAAGGGAUGCUGUGCUGCCCUGAAAGCCCUGGGAGCCAUCGUGUACGUCACGGAGAUCGACCCCAUCUGCGCUCUCCAGGCCUGGGAACAAGAACGUGGUGACCAGGGAGCACCUGGACCGGAUGAAGAACAGCUGCAUCGUGUGCAACAUGGGCCACUCCAACACCGAGAUCGACGUGACCAGCCUGCGCACGCCGGAGCUGACCUGGGAGCGGGUCCGUUCCCAGGUGGAUCACGUCAUCUGGCCGGAUGGGAAACGGGUGGUGCUGCUGGCCGAGGGCCGUCUGCUCAACCUAAGCUGCUCCACAGUUCCCACCUUCGUUCUCUCCAUCACGGCCACCACGCAGGCUCUGGCUCUGAUUGAGCUCUACAACGCCCCCGAGGGCCGGUACAAGCAGGACGUUUACCUGCUGCCGAAGAAGAUGGGUGAGUGAAGGAACUGAUUUUUCCCUGGGGAAUCUGUGUGCCAGCAGUGCAAGGACAGCUCAAACCUGGGCUGGGAAACACUUCCAGAGGGACAAUGAGUUCAGGGAAGCCACCACAGGCAGUGACCUUAAAAUACAUGGGGGUUAUUUGAUUUAUUUUCAUUAGUGUUCUGCAGUGUGGGAGGCAUCCCACAUCCUGCAGCCUCUCUUCUCUGGGGUUUUCCAUGCCCUCCUCGUGCCUUUAGGGGCACAUCCAGCCCAGGCUUGGGCUCAGCUGUGCUUUGGGUGAUGGUGAAUCUGGAGUGCUGCCCUGCCAGACCUUGCAGUCAUCACCUCACCGUGUUGUGGGGGGGAUGUGGACCCCCUGAUCCCGUUUUCCCUGUUCCCAUUCCCAGAUGAGUACGUGGCCAGUUUGCACCUGCCGUCGUUCGACGCCCACCUGACAGAGCUGACAGAUGAUCAGGCCAAAUACCUGGGACUCAACAAAAAUGGGCCUUUCAAACCCAACUACUACAGAUACUGACGGGACCAUUUCCAUGAAGGACCAGACCACACAAGGCAACAUUCGAGAGAUUAUUUUUAAAAAUCACUUUUAUUUUGGUUUACCUUUUUUUUUUUUUUUUUUUUUUUUUCUUUAACCACCACCAGAACCUGUUUUUACAUUUUAUCUGUGAUUUUAAAGUCAGGUUUUCUUUUCUCCCCCUUUUCCAUGAUCACAUCCCUGUCUGACCUUGCCAGACAACCUGGGAUUUGCUUCUUGCUUUCAUGUGGCUGAAGCCGCUGAUUCCCAGCCCUGGCUCCAGGAGGGGCUUUCCCUUUCCUGCUGUGCCAAGGGCACUUCAUUCCUGCAGCAAUGCUUUAUUUUGGCUUUUAUUUUGUAUUUUUUCCCACCUUUCGAGCCCACGUCGGUCUCAGCCGGGCUCCCUGUGGAUCCGGAGAUGCUCUUCUACCUUAUCUUCUAUUUCUUUGUGUGGAUUAUCUGCAACUUCUAAAUUGCCUUAAAGAGCCCAGUUUUAGCUGCUAGAUCCCUGCUCCGGGUGCUUCCUGAGAGCAGAGUGGCCUGCAGGACACCUGGCAAAGGGGGUGACUGUGCCCAAGCCCAGCCCAGGUCCCUGCGCUGAGGUGGCCCAGGUUUGGUGGCCACUGGCCUGGGUUUGCUGGCCACCUGGGUCCAGGGGAGUUCAGUGUUUCAGGGUGCUAAUCUGAAUCCGGAUGGGGGUCGCUUUCCCAGCAUUAUCCUCAUCUCUCCUAGGUUUUUUGUUGUUUUGUUUGUUGUUUUUUUAGCCAAACUGCACCUUAAUUGAGUUUUAAACAUUUUUUUUUCCAUUUAUUUGUUUUUUUCUUCCCCUUUUCCUUUUUCAUCCUUACAGAGGUGUUUCAGAGGGAGGGGAUGUUUUCAGAUGUUUUGAAGAGGAAGCACUGGGGAUGUGGCUUCUUUCCCAUCUCCCACUGGGAAGUGCCGGGUGGUGUUGAGGGUGUCUGGGGUGGGUUUUGGGGGUGUUUUACUAUUUUAUUUUGAGCUGGAUGCAGAGAUGAGCCUUCCCCAUAGCCCAGCCUGGCCCCUCUGCUCCCUGUCGCUGUUUUCCUCAUCCUCUCCCCGUGCAUCCCAGCUGCUCCCAUCGCCUCCUCCAUGCUGCUGACAUUCCGCUUUCCCAGCUUGUGCUGGGGUGUGGGAAGCUCCUUCCAACCCACUGAGGUUCCUCUUGGCUUUUUUUUUUUAUCCUCCCCAAAUCUCCUGUUCCUUUCCCCACCCAAGGGAGGGAAGGAGCUGCUGGCACCUCCCAGGUCAUGGAGCUGCUCCUUCCCCACUUUGCAGGGAUCCACUUGGAUGGGUCCUUCCCAGGAAAUUUGCGGGUCUGGGGGUGCAAAGCUCCUUGGGGGACCAGGAGAGGGGAGAGGUGCAGAGAUCAUCCCCCUCCCAUCCCCUCCUCCAUGUCCUCUGACUGUUCCUCUCUCCCACCCUGCCUGGUCUCCUCCUGGACGCUCGCUCCAUGGAUUUUGGGGAUCACCUGCUUCGCUCUCCAACAGAUCCCAGGGAUCACCUGGGUCCCCUCCACCAUCCCCCAGACCUCCCUGGGGACGGCUUAGCAAGCUGGGCUGGGCGUUUGUGGGGAGGAUGGGGAGCAUCCCCCCUUCCCUGUGAGCCCCCCACGCCCGGGGGUCCCAGCCAGCCCGGCUGGGGUCUCGGUGCAAGGACUCGUGUCUGGAUAAGCCAUGCUGGGGGAGCCCGGGGUUGAUGGCAGCAGCGUUGGGCCGGGAGCGAGAGGUUUAUUUUGUAUAUGAAUGAUUUUUAAUGAAUGCAAUAUUAAUCCUUGCAGAUGAGCAAUAAAUCAUUGAAGUCUAAUUAAACUAUUAGGAUAAACAAA